rnacentral:rRNA from 1 species
UACGUAGGGGGCUAGCGUUGUCCGGAUUUAUUGGGCGUAAAGAGCGUGUAGGCGGCCAAGUAGGUCCGGUGUGAAAACUCGAGGCUUAACCUCGAGAUGUCAUCGGAAACCAUUUGGCUAGAGUCCGGAAGAGGAAAGUGGAAUUCCUGGUGUAGCGGUGAAAUGCGCAGAUAUCAGGAAGAACACCAAUGGCGAAAAGCA